rnacentral:sRNA from 1 species
AUUACUCAUGAUAAAGAAAAAGCAGAACGAAAAAGAAAAGCUGAAGCUGCUAGGCUACAUCGUCAGAAGAUCAUGGCUCAGAUGUCUGCCUUACAGAAAAACUUCAUUGAAACUCAUAAACUCAUGUAUGACAAUACAUCAGAAAUGCCUGGGAAAGAAGACUCCAUUAUGGAGGAAGAGAGCACCCCAGCAAUCAGUGACUACUCUAGAAUUGCUUUGGGUCCUAAACGGGGUCCAUCUGUUACUGAAAAAGAGGUGCUGACAUGUAUCCUUUGCCAAGAAGAACAAGAGGUGAAAAUAGAAAAUAAUGCCAUGGUAUUAUCGGCCUGUGUCCAGAAAUCUACUGCCUUAACCCAGCACAGGGGAAAACCCAUAGAACUCUCAGGAGAAACCCUAGACCCACUUUUCAUGGAUCCAGACUUGGCAUAUGGAACUUAUACAGGAAGCUGUGGUCAUGUAAUGCAUGCAGUGUGCUGGCAGAACUCCUCCAGAGGCUGAGGCAGAAUCACUUGAACCCAGGAGACGGAGAUUCCAGUGAGCCAAGAUUGCGCCAUUGCACUCCAGCUUGGGACACGAGCGAAACAUCGUCUCAAAAAAAUUAAUAAAUACA